rnacentral:rRNA from 1 species
CCUACGGGAGGCAGCAGUGGGGAAUCUUGCGCAAUGGGCGAAAGCCUGACGCAGCAACGCCGCGUGCGGGAAGAAGGCUUUCGGGCUGUAAACCGCUUUCAGCAGGAACGAAAAUGACGGUACCUGCAGAAGAAGGAGCGGCCAACUAUGUGCCAGCAGCCGCGGUGAUACAUAGGCUUCAAGCGUUGUCCGGAUUUAUUGGGCGUAAAGAGUUCGUAGGCGGUCAAGUAAGUCGGGUGUGAAAAUUCUGGGGCUCAACCCAGAGACGCCACCCGAUACUGCUUAACUUGAGUUCGAUAGGGGAGUGGGGAAUUCCUAGUGUAGCGGUGAAAUGCGCAGAUAUUAGGAGGAACACCGGUGGCGAAGGCGCCACUCUGGAUCGAUACUGACGCUGAGGAACGAAAGCAUGGGUAGCAAACAGGAUUAGAUACCCUGGUAGUCCAUGCCGUAAACGGUGGGCACUAGGUGUGGGUUUCCAUUAACGAAAUCCGNGCCGUCGCUAACGCAUUAAGUGCCCCGCCUGGGGGAGUACGGUCGCAGACAAACUACAAGAAGUAGACGCGNGAGACGUGCGACGACGACGACGAGGAGAG